CUAUCAUCUGUUUUAUUUGUUUAAGCUUAGGGAAAAAAAGAACAUUCAGCCUUUUAAAAAAAUCAUAAUAAUGAAAAUGUUAAUAACCGAAAGAAUAAUGGCUACAAGUUACGGAGAGCCUGCUAAGCGCGAGGCACUGUGUUGAAUGUUUUAUGUACAUCAUCUCAUUCAACGUCCCCUGGGCUUCCUCCACUUUCCCCAAACACUAAAAAUCUCUUCCAGAACUGCGAGUUCAUUCUCUCGUAGCAGUACCAUAAAGGGAUUCCACUUUAUUUGCAAUUCCAAAUUUAUAAAGUUUCCUUCAUCCUUCACCUUGUUGGAGCUUUGAGAUGGUGAAUAGGGUGUCCCUGAGCAUCCAGGGGAGUGGUGUUCCUUUCCUCCUCACCCAAGGCCAGGCUCAGACAAAGGAGAGUGUACCUCUUGGCCAGGCAGCCCUGGAGACUUGCCAUGGUAGAAGGAAGUGCCUCAGCCCCAUCUCUACUGAUAGAGCUGCAGAGUUGAGACCAGCACCUAUCCCAGCCCCACCUCUCUGUUCCAGGUCCCACUCACUUCUGGAUUUAGAAUCCUCACUUACCUUGUGAUUAUUCAGCGUCAGGGCAGCGAGAAUGGCUCUCCUGCCUCAAGGCCCUGCCAAUGCUAACACCCUGAGAUUCCAGGGAAGGCUAUUCACUGUUCUGAGGGGUAUGUGGUAACAAGGCAGAUCUGUCUUGAAUGGCUUCCAAGAAGCCUGGUGCCCAGGGGAAGCCUGAGAAAAACAGAUGUGGAAGUAGGAGCCCCAAAUAUUGUGAGUGGUUCACUAAAGAGGCUUUGCUGCUUUUCGGGAGAACCUAGUCUCCCCUACCUGGUGGUUAAAGACUCAGACUCACUGUCCUUUAAGCAAAGAGAUGCUGCAAUUCUACUCCUGUCAAGGAGCUACUGAGAGAAGGAAACCAGCUGCUACACUCAGGGCACCUGCUGUUUAAGAACUUUCCUGUUCUCUUAAUUUUUUCCUUCCUUCCUUUUUCUAUCUCCUAAACUUUGCUUUUGUUGGUGGUAUUUAGACACGCUGUUGUCUCUCCUCCGGGUGUGUGCUGGGGCUUGAUCUAAUUGUCCUGCUGUCCAGUGUCACUCGGCAUUAUUAUCCGGAAGAUGAAUGGGAUGGGGGUCAGAGUUCAGCAAGGAUGCAUCUGCUCACUUGCACUGCAUAGUAGAAGUGCUCAGAGGUGGUCUUCACUGAAAGCUUGGAAAAGAUUUGCACAGAGUAAGCUGUCUUCUAUCCCUCCAAAGAUGGGGUGACCAAAAGGUAGUCCUUUUCUGGAGGGACCAUAAGUGAAUCAACAGGAGGAAGGAAUAUCUUUACCGGGAGUUCCCUGCUUGGGAUGUCUUGUCUUCUGUAGGAGAGAAAAUACGGAGAAAGACUGGGUGAUUAAACAAGCAGGGGAAUGCAAAUGGAAGCUCUGGAAUGGGUCCUGACCACUGGCCUAUUUUGCUCAUAGAAUAAUCUCACCAAAGAAGAGUUUCCACUCCACUCGCAAAGCCUCUCGCCCAGCAUCUCCCCUGGCCUCAGGUUACUGAGCCAUCGCCACACCGGGCUCAAGUUCUCUUACUGGACUCUCUUCACGUUGACAGUUCUUCCACUUUACCAAGUAGUCAGAAUCCCCACUUACGAAGAACUGCUGUGGCAUUCGAGGCAAGGGGGACAAUGGAUCUAUUGUUCUUUUGGCGUUCUUGACUAGGGGAUAUGUCUCCUCCAUCUAACUCUGUCACCAAAGGAGGCCGAAGUGGAAGUUGGGAGAGGAAGAAAGAAGCAGAGACCAGGAAACUGACUUUAGUUCAGGUGCGACUUGCUGCCCAUGGGUCCUCCUGGACCUCUGGGGAGACGCAUCACGGUCACCCCCACAGCGCAGAGGCAAGAGAGAGGUCCACAGAAACCCCAGCGCAAGCGCUAAAAAUACACGGCGGGGAGAGCCCGGCAUUCCGCGGACUCGCCGCUGAUGCGGUCUCCCAAGAUGGGUCGGGAUCCCGCCACCGGCUUCCCG
rnacentral:lncRNA from 1 species